rnacentral:tRNA from 1 species
GGGGAGAUGGCUCAGUGGUUAAGAGCACUGAGUGCUCUUCUAGAGGUCCUGAGUUCAAUUCCCAGUUACUAGCCG